rnacentral:lncRNA from 1 species
AUGAAGCCUCGGACCCUGGCGAAGAGGCAGAGGAUGUUGACACAAACUUACAGACUGGGACUCCAAGGAUCAGCCAGAUGAAAUGCUAUGUGCAGAGUCUUCAUUUCCCAGCUCAGUGGUGGACAGCAGAGGACUCUAAGAUCCAGCCACCUCUUGGGAUGCACACGUUUCUCUUCAACUGCGUGAUGUGAACUGCGUCACAUGUGAAUUAUCAACAGAAACUACCUAGAGAAACCUGUAACUUCAGAUCUUCUGAUUAAUUGAUUUUCUUUGGGUGCUGCUUGACAGUAACAGAAUGGUCCAUGGGGACAGUUUUUCAGUGAAUGUUUUCAACAAUGAUAGGAACACAGAGCUAAGCAGAGUGUCAAGAGACAUUUAGUGCAGUAGAGACAUCUCAUCUGUUUUUCUGCAGAACUUGCAUAAAAUUAGCAUCUGAUUAUUAUCACCUCAGAAUGAACCGGAACCCGUAAAGAUGUCUUUGAUCGUAAAAGUGGGGAGGAGACCCUGAUGGAAGAAGAGAAGACUUCAGCCUCACAAUAGAAAAGACUGUGUUUAUGCACCUAAAUCUAACUUAGACACCAUCUAAUUCAAGAAACAGGCACAUUUAGGGAAAUAAAGAAAAGAGGCAGAAAGAGAUGAAGCACCUUGGCUGAAUCAGAGAAAUUAGGGGUUAAUGUUCCAGACUGAUGACUUGAAGGAGGGUGUGCAUUUUCAUGCAAGGGACCAUUCUGUAGAAGAAGCAGCACAUUCACCCUUAAAUGAGCAAAGAGAAUCCCAAUCACUCUCCCUCUCACCCUCCCCUUUUCCUUCAUUUCUCUAGCUCUUUAUUUCCAAGAAGGCCAGCCCUUCUCUUCAGCCACAUGGUAUUUGGACAGCCUAGGCUCAAUCCCUGCAGGGAAAGCUCAAUCAGCCAGCUGAGCCAGUCACUGAACAACCAAGUCUGGUAAGAACAGGGGUGAAGUAUUUAAGAAGCCUAUCGUGGCUGGAGGGCUAAAGCCUUGUUCUCAAAUCAGCUUUAUAGGUAAUAAAACUGACAUUAAAGCAAAAACAAAUAAGA